AAUAGAUACCCGGGUAGUCCACGCCGUAAACGAUGAGUGCUAAGUGUUAGAGGGUUUCCGCCCUUUAGUGCUGCAGCUAACGCAUUAAGCACUCCGCCUGGGGAGUACGGUCGCAAGACUGAAACUCAAAGGAAUUGACGGGGGCCCGCACAAGCGGUGGAGCAUGUGGUUUAAUUCGAAGCAACGCGAAGAACCUUACCAGGUCUUGACAUCCCACUGACCGGUAUAGAGAUAUACCUUUCCCUUCGGGGACAGUGGUGACAGGUGGUGCAUGGUUGUCGUCAGCUCGUGUCGUGAGAUGUUGGGUUAAGUCCCGCAACGAGCGCAACCCUUGAUCUUAGUUGCCAGCAUUUAGUUGGGCACUCUAAGGUGACUGCCGGUGACAAACCGGAGGAAGGUGGGGAUGACGUCAAAUCAUCAUGCCCCUUAUGACCUGGGCUACACACGUGCUACAAUGGAUGGUACAAAGGGCUGCAAGACUGCGAAGUCAAGCCAAUCCCAUAAACCAUUCUCAGUUCGGAUUGCAGG
rnacentral:rRNA from 1 species